rnacentral:rRNA from 1 species
AUGGCUAUGCGCUACAUCCCCAUCUUCUUCCUCCUAUUCUUGAGUUCAUUCUGCAAAUCUGAUGAUCAACUCACACAAGCAAAGCCACUCACCCACGGCCACACUCUCAUCUCCGAAACCGGAGAUUUCGCUCUUGGCUUCUUCUCCCCGACGACCUCCAACAGGAGCUUUUACCUUGGCAUAUGGUACCAUAGCCUCCCCGGACCACGGACUGUUGUGUGGGUCGCCAAUCGAGACAACCCAAUCACCAACCCUUCGUCCGGGACGCUUACCGUCACCAGCAAUUCAUCAUUGGUAUUAUCUGACUCCAGUGGCCGCAAUAUAUGGAUGACAGCAAGCAAUAUACCCGCUAGAGUUUCCAGAGCUCAUGCAGUGCUACUCAACUCGGGGAACUUUGUUCUCCGGUCGCCGAAUGGUGCGGACAUAUGGCAGAGCUUUGAUCACCCGACCGACACAAUGCUUCCAACAAUGAGAUUUUUGGCAAGCUACAAGGCACAAGUUGUCGGGCGGUUCAUUGCUUGGAAGGGACCGCAUGACCCGUCCUCCGGGAACUUCUCCUUAAGUAGCGACCCCAGCUCGCCAACCCCUCAGCUCAUCAUUUGGCAUGGGACCAAGCCAUACUGCCGCACCACUGUGUUGAAUGAAGCUUCGGUGAUUUACGGGGGGACAUACCUGAGCAACACCGGAUCUGUAUUGUAUGAAGCGAACAUCAACUCUAGAGGUGAGUACUACAUCAUGUUCACAAUCUCUGAGAACUCGCCAUUCACACGCAUCACACUUGACUACAGUGGCAAGUCCCAAUUUCUAAGCUGGAACAAUCAGUCAUCUUCAUGGGCACUAAUUGGUGAACACCCCACUGCUGCAUGCGACCUCUAUGCCUUGUGUGGCCCGUUCAGUUAUUGUGACUACACUCAGAUUAUCCCAGCCUGCCAAUGUCUUGAGGGGUUUGAGCCCAUUGAUGAUAUUAGCUCUUCUAAAGGAUGUAAGAGAAAGAAAGUGCUGAAAUGCAGCGAACCGAGUCAUUUUGUGUCCUUACCUGGGAUGAAGGUUCCAGACAAGUUCUUGCACAUACAGAAUAAAAGCUUUGAUGAGUGUACUGCCGAGUGCAACCGCAACUGCUCAUGCACGGCUUACGCUUAUGCCAACUUGAGCAGGGCUGGUGCUAUGGCCGACUCAUCGAGGUGCUUGGUUUGGUUAGGGGAACUUACUGACGCUGGGAAAGGAACCGCUGGCGAGAACCUUUACUUCCGACUUGCCGAUGCUCCUGUUGACAAAAAGAUAAGUUCAGUAAAGAUUGUACUCCCGAUUGUGGCAUUCUUGCUGCUACUAACAUGCAUAGCCCUCGUCUGGAUGUACAAAUGCAGAGGCAAACGGCAAAGGAGAGAAAACCAGAACGCACUAAUGCAAGGAUACUUUAGUACAUCCAACAGACUCGGAGGCGAAAGUACAGAAUUUCUAUUUGUUAGCUAUGAAGACAUCCUUUCAGCAACAAAUUUUUUCGCUGAUUCGAACUUACUUGGACGCGGAGGUUUUGGCAAAGUUUACAAGGGCACACUGAAAGGUGGAAAUGAAGUUGCUGUUAAGAGGCUCAGUAAGGGUUCUAAACAAGGUAUAGAGGAGUUCAAAAAUGAAGUAGUUCUGAUUGCCAAGCUGCAGCACAAGAACCUAGUCAGACUUCUUGGAUUUUGCAUUCAGGAGGAUGAGAAGUUGCUGAUCUACGAAUAUUUACCUAACAAAAGUUUGGAUGCCUUUCUUUUUGAUGCUGCACAAAAACAUGUGCUUGAUUGGCUGACGCGGUUCAAAAUAAUUAAAGGGGUAGCAAGAGGGCUUCUUUAUCUUCACCAAGAUUCAAGAUUAACAAUAAUUCAUAGAGAUCUCAAAGCAAGCAACAUUCUAUUGGAUACCGAAAUGACUCCAAAAAUUUCAGAUUUUGGUAUGGCAAGAAUCUUUGGUGCAAACCAAAAUCAUGCAAACACAACCAGGGUCGCUGGGACAUAUGGCUACAUGUCACCUGAGUAUGCGAUCGGAGGUGCCUUUUCAGUGAAAUCCGACACUUAUGGCUUCGGCGUUCUUCUGUUGGAGAUUGUUAGUGGGUUGAACAUCAGCUCACCUCAGCACAAGACAAACUUUUGUAGUCUGAUAACUUAUGUAAUUUUUAUGGAAUACGCAAAGUUACAAGUUAACAACCUUGCAGGAUAA